rnacentral:lncRNA from 1 species
GAGUAUUUACAUGCAAGGACAAAGAAGGAAACUAUAUAUAAGAAGAUGAAGUCAAAUAUACAGAAUGUGUUGGAAUUCACAAUCUGGGAUAAAAAUAACUGGCACCUUAGGUCACUAGAUAGUCUAUAGCCAGAGCAACUAGAACUGUAUGGACGUCAAGAGAAGACUCCUACCCCACAGACUCAACAGGAGCCAGAGGCAUCACUUUCACCAGCACUGCACAAGCACGCUGGUUGGUUUCCACACCUCUCUGCCAGCAACAACCGUAAAAACUGUUACCUGUCUGAUGAUAAAUAAAA